rnacentral:rRNA from 1 species
GACGAACGCUGGCGGCGUGCCUAAUACAUGCAAGUAGAACGCUGAAGGAGGAGCUUGCUCUUCUGGAUGAGUUGCGAACGGGUGAGUAACGCGUAGGUAACCUGCCUGGUAGCGGGGGAUAACUAUUGGAAACGAUAGCUAAUACCGCAUAAGAGUAGAUGUUGCAUGACAUUUGCUUAAAAGGUGCAAUUGCAUCACUACCAGAUGGACCUGCGUUGUAUUAGCUAGUUGGUGGGGUAACGGCUCACCAAGGCGACGAUACAUAGCCGACCUGAGAGGGUGAUCGGCCACACUGGGACUGAGGCACGGCCCAGACUCCUACGGGAGGCAGCAGUAGGGAAUCUUCGGCAAGGGACGGAAGUCUGACCGAGCAACGCCGCGUGAGUGAAGAAGGUUUUCGGAUCGUAAAGCUCUGUUGUAAGAGAAGAACGAGUGUGAGAGUGGAAAGUUCACACUGUGACGGUAUCUUACCAGAAAGGGACGGCUAACUACGUG